rnacentral:sRNA from 1 species
GCAUAUCAAUAAGCGGAGGAAAAGAAACCAACAGGGAUUGCCUCAGUAACGGCGAGUGAAGCGGCAACAGCUCAAAUUUGAAAUCUGGCCGCAAGGUCCGAGUUGUAAUUUGCAGAGGAUGCUUUUGGUGAGGUGCUUUCCGAGUUCCCUGGAACGGGACGCCAUAGAGGGUGAGAGCCCCGUACGGUUACGCACCGAGCCUCUGUAAAGCUCCUUCGACGAGUCGAGUAGUUUGGGAAUGCUGCUCUAAAUGGGAGGUGUACGUCUUCUAAAGCUAAAUACCGGCCAGAGACCGAUAGCGCACAAGUAGAGUGAUCGAAAGAUGAAAAGCACUUUGAAAAGAGGGUUAAAAAGUACGUGAAAUUGUUGAAAGGGAAGCAUUUAUGACCAGACUUGGGCAUGGUUGAACAUCCGGCGUUCUCGCCGGUGCACUCUGCCAGCCCAGGCCAGCAUCAGUUUGCCCCGGGGGAUAAAGGCGGCGGGAAUGUAGCUCUCUCCGGGGAGUGUUAUAGCCCGUCGUGCAAUGCCCUGGGGCGGACUGAGGAACGCGCUCGGCACGG